rnacentral:rRNA from 1 species
GCGGACGGGUGAGUAACACGUGGAUAACCUACCUAUAAGACUGGGAUAACUUCGGGAAACCGGAGCUAAUACCGGAUAAUAUAUUGAACCGCAUGGUUCAAUAGUGAAAGACGGUUUUGCUGUCACUUAUAGAUGGAUCCGCGCCGCAUUAGCUAGUUGGUAAGGUAACGGCUUACCAAGGCGACGAUGCGUAGCCUACCUGAGAGGGUGAUCGGCCACACUGGAACUGAGACACGGUCCAG